rnacentral:rRNA from 1 species
CAGCAGCCACGGGAAUACGUAGGUGGCAAGCGUCGUCCGGAAUUAUUGGGCGUAAAGCGCGUGCAGGUGGUUUAAUAAGUCUGAUGUGAAAGCCCACGGCUCAACCGUGGAGGGUCAUUGGAAACUGUUAAACUUGAGUGCAGGAGAGAAAAGUGGAAUUCCUAGUGUAGCGGUGAAAUGCGUAGAGAUUAGGAGGAACACCAGUGGCGAAGGCGGCUUUUUGGCCUGUAACUGACACUGAGGCGCGAAAGCGUGGGGAGCAAACAGGAUUAGAUACCCCUGUAGUCCCUGUCUCUUAUAC